AUGAAGCUAGAGAAAGGAGGAAGGGGAGAAGGAGAGUCCUGGAGAGGAAAGUCAGAGAGAAGUUGGGGUUUAGGACAGGCGUCAAAUCCCAAAUUUUAUUUCAUUGGCCAUGAAUGUAUUUCAUUUGAUUUCUUUUUUAUGUAACAGCUUCAUCCUCUAUCCAAAGGACAUGCCCUUGGAAAAAGAGAGAUCUCUUCUAUGAAUCAAAUUCUCACUGGAGUGAGCCAGAAGCUGCACUAUUUCUGACUGCUAUAUUUUGGAAGAAAAGGAGCUUCAAUUCUGGUUGGGGAAUUGGACCUGCCUGACAAGAUACCCUAUGGAUCCAUUUCCAAAGGCAGGGAUCAUAGACACAGGACUAGACAAGGGAGGGCAGCAGAAGAAGUCCAUGGGAAGGGAGUAAAGGAAGAAAAGACAGAUGAAGAUGCAAAGAGAAUUUCAAAUGUGGAAAAGAGGAAAGGGGUUGAUAGAAUUGAUGGUAAAUGGCCCAAAUUUUCUCCAUAAAUAUCAGGAAACAUACUUUGGUGCCUGUUCCAGGGCUCGAUGGUAUCAGUGCUUCCUGAAUUCCUUGAAGCUGAAUCCAGAAAUAAUGAUAGAGAUCAUUAAAAACUCUUCAGCUUCAUUAAUACUUCUUCCAAAUUUCUCCAGUUGUAUCCAAAGAGAAAACACUGAAAAUCACAAUGAGGAGAUCUGCAGAGUUUCUCCAGCUCUCCUUACAUCCCCCCCCCCCCAAUUCCUGGAGCUGAACCUCUGUGCCCAUUCCUGUGAAAUACAGAAAUAGUGACUCCAUGGGCUCACAAACCCAUUGUUAAUUCCAGAGUCUCCGAGGGAGCCUAAGAAAAAAAAUUACCUUUGAAAAGCACCAGAAGGAAGAGGAGCUCCCUGCCAAAUCUCAUGCUGGUGAUCUGAGAUUCUCUGAGAGAAGGUUGUGGGACAAAGACCAGGAGAAGAGAUAUGGAUUUUAUCUGAAUAACAAGAAGGAAGAAGUUGUAAAGGUUAUUUGGAGACAUUUGGAUUUGUGAAGGAGGCAAGAGCUUGAAUUUUGGAAGGACAAAUAUUGGAGAACCUGAGGAAAAGCUAAAUAACUUGAGCUGAAGGAAAAGGACUCAAACUAAAAAAGGAUUUGGUAUGAAGGAAUAAAAGGAUUGAGGAUAAAAACCUGAACAGAAGACCUCAAAGAAAAGGAAAUAAAGAAGAUAUUUGGCAAUGAAAGGUAAAUAAAAAAAGGUCCACAGGAUUGUUCUUACCCACACAGAGGAGCAUGGAUCAGACAAAGAGACAGGUCCACUGCAUAGUUUCACGGGGAGGAUGAUUCUGCCUUUGAGUCUCUGCCCAAAGAGUCUCCUUCCUUUUUCAGCCAUCAAACUUCCAGUGAUAUAUUUGUGUACUCUUGACCUCAACCUUACAUUGAGGAAAUAUGCCUCAACUACCAGCUGUGCUGUCUCCAGGAAAUAUCUGGUGCCAUAUUUUCCAGAAACAUUGGAGCAUGCAGGAGGCCCUGAAUGUGUUAAGGACGAAGCUCUGCACAAGCUGACCUAAUUUGUUGUUUGCAUUCCAAACUGGACUGCUUGUGUGUCCUUGGGAGUCAAGACAAGUGCCAGACAGUCUGCACUAGGCUUGUGCAGCUGGAGCCCUUGUAGAUAAGGACACCAUUGUAUCUUCAUGGUCUAGCAGUUUCCAAGGGAAAAGAAUGUGGCUUUUGCCUCGCCUCGCUCCUCCCCUUUGGGUGGGGUUUUGUCCUUCUCCCACCUUUACUGCACCUUUUCCCUCUCAUGUCUCACCCCUUUAGUUGGAGAUGUGUGAUUCUCCUCCUCCUUUUAUUAUACUGCCAUAAACAUGCAAACUUCUGUUUGGAUUGUGAACUCUUUGGAUUCCACAUUUAUGUUCAUUUCUCUUGCAAUAAACCUCGUUUUCACAUAAGUUUUGUGAAGUUGUGAUAGCCUGUUGAUAAUAUCUCUAUUA